UCUUUAUACAUAAGGCACCUAGUUAAUUUAGUUUAGUGAUGUUUAUUAAAUUAUACGAAAGUGCCCUAUUUUUUUAAAUAUUUUAGGGAGACUCUUGAGGGAACAGUACAAGCUGAAGACUACAGGCUGAAACUGUCCCCUAAGAAAGCGAACCAACAAUACGUAGUAUUGUAAAUAAAGAAGCUAAU
rnacentral:ncRNA from 1 species